AGCAUGUUAGCUCAGGGGUGGAGCGCCGUGAGUUUUGAAUAUCACAUAUUUUAUGAAUAAAAACUAAUAAUAAUAUAGAGGCUCAUAACCUGGAGGCCCCUGGAUCGAAACCAGGACAUGCUA
rnacentral:tRNA from 1 species